AUUGAACGCUGGCGGCAUGCCUUACACAUGCAAGUCGAACGGUAACAGGUCUUCGGAUGCUGACGAGUGGCGAACGGGUGAGUAAUACAUCGGAACGUGCCUAGUAGUGGGGGAUAACUACUCGAAAGAGUGGCUAAUACCGCAUGAGAUCUACGGAUGAAAGCAGGGGAUCGCAAGACCUUGUGCUACUAGAGCGGCCGAUGGCAGAUUAGGUAGUUGGUGGGAUAAAAGCUUACCAAGCCGACGAUCUGUAGCUGGUCUGAGAGGACGAUCAGCCACAAUGGGACUGAGAAACGGCCCAGACUCCUACGGGAGUCAGCAGUGGGGAAUUUUGGACAAUGGGCUCAAGCCUGAUCCAGCAAUGCCGCGUGCAGGAUGAGGGCCUUCGGGUUGUAAACUGCUUUUGUACGGAACGAAAAGCCCCGGGUUAAUACCCUGGGGUCAUGACGGUACCGUAAGAAUAAGCACCGGCUAACUACGUGCCAGCCGCCGCAGUAA
rnacentral:rRNA from 1 species